AAAGAAUUAGUUAAAAUAUAACAUUAAUAUGUCAUAUUAAAAUUAUUUAUAAAAAUAUUCUUUU
rnacentral:tRNA from 1 species